rnacentral:rRNA from 1 species
UGGGGAAUAUUGGACAAUGGGCGCAAGCCUGAUCCAGCCAUGCCGCGUGUGUGAAGAAGGCCUUCGGGUUGUAAAGCACUUUUGUUGGGAAAGAAAAGCGGUCGGUUAAUACCCGGUCGUUCUGACGGUACCCAAAGAAUAAGCACCGGCUAACUUCGUGCCAGCAGCCGCGGUAAUACGAAGGGUGCAAGCGUUACUCGGAAUUACUGGGCGUAAAGCGUGCGUAGGUGGUUUGUUAAGUCAGAUGUGAAAGCCCCGGGCUCAACCUGGGAAUUGCAUUUGAUACUGGCAGACUAGAGUGCGGUAGAGGAGAGUGGAAUUCCCGGUGUAGCAGUGAAAUGCGUAGAGAUCGGGAGGAACAUCAGUUGCGAAGGCGGCUCUCUGG